CUCAGAUUGAACGCUGGCGGCAGGCUUAACACAUGCAAGUCGAGCGGUAGCACAGGGGAGCUUGCUCCCUGGGUGACGAGCGGCGGACGGGUGAGUAAUGUCUGGGAAACUGCCUGAUGGAGGGGGAUAACUACUGGAAACGGUAGCUAAUACCGCAUAACGUCGCAAGACCAAAGAGGGGGACCUUCGGGCCUCUUGCCAUCAGAUGUGCCCAGAUGGGAUUAGCUAGUAGGUGGGGUAAUGGCUCACCUAGGCGACGAUCCCUAGCUGGUCUGAGAGGAUGACCAGCCACACUGGAACUGAGACACGGUCCAGACUCCUACGGGAGGCAGCAGUGGGGAAUAUUGCACAAUGGGCGCAAGCCUGAUGCAGCCAUGCCGCGUGUGUGAAGAAGGCCUUCGGGUUGUAAAGCACUUUCAGCGAGGAGGAAGGUGGUGAGCUUAAUACGCUCAUCAAUUGACGUUACUCGCAGAAGAAG
rnacentral:rRNA from 1 species